rnacentral:rRNA from 1 species
GCGAGUGAAGCGGGAAGAGCUCAAAUUUAAAAUCUGGCGGUCUUUGGCCGUCCGAGUUGUAAUUUAGAGAAGCGUCUUCCGUGCCGGACCGUGCACAAGUCUCCUGGAAUGGAGCGUCAUAGAGGGUGAGAAUCCCGUCUUUGGCACGGACCCCCCGGUGCUCUGUGAUGCGCUCUCAAAGAGUCGAGUUGUUUGGGAAUGCAGCUCAAAAUGGGUGGUGAACUCCAUCUAAAGCUAAAUAUUGGCGAGAGACCGAUAGCGAACAAGUACCGUGAGGGAAAGAUGAAAAGCACUUUGGAAAGAGAGUGAAACAGUACGUGAAAUUGUUGAAAGGGAAACGCUUGAAGUCAGUCGCGUCGAUCGAGACUCAGCCUCGCCUCGGCUUGGUGUACUUCUUGACCGACGGGCCAGCAUCAAUUUUGUCCCUCAGAUAAUGGCAAGGGAAAGGUGGCACCCUUACGGGUGUGUUAUAGUCUCCUGUCGCAUGUGAGGGGUGGGAUUGAGGAACUCAGCACGCACCUUUGGGUGCCGGGGCUUCGGCCCACGUUACGUGCUUAGGAUGUUGGCGUAAUGGCUUUAAACGACCCGUCUUGAAACACGGACCAAGGAGUCUAACAUGCCCGCGAGUGUUCGGGUGGAAAACCCGUGCGCGUAAUGAAAGUGAAAGUUGGGACCUCUGUCGUGGAGGGCACCGACGCCCGGACCAGACCUUCUGUGACGGAUCUGCGGUAGAGCGUGCAUGUUGGGACCCGAAAGAUGGUGAACUAUGCCUGAAUAGGGUGAAGCCAGAGGAAACUCUGGUGGAGGCUCGUAGCGAUUCUGACGUGCAAAUCGAUCGUCAAAUUUGGGUAUAGGGGCGAAAGACUAAUCGAACCAUCUAGUAGCUGGUUCCUGC